rnacentral:lncRNA from 1 species
AUUGAUUUCUUACAAAUUAAAACCAAACCCACACCAGUACUCUUGCCUGGAAAAUCCCAUGGACGGAGGAGCCCAGUAGGCUGUAGUCCGUGCGGUCACGAAGAGUCGGACACUUACUGAGCGACUUCACUUUCACUUUUCACUUUCAUGCAUUGGAGAAGGAAAUGGCAACCCACUCCAGUGUUCUUGCCUGAAGAAUCCCAGGGAUGGUGGAGCCUGGUGGGCUGCCAUCUGUGGGGUCGCACAGAGUCGGACACGACUGAGGCGACUUAGCAGUUGCAGUAGCAGAGUGGGGCAGAAUAUUACAGAUGACGUCGAAUUUAAGUUUCUCUUUAUAUUACUGGAGAUUGAAAAGAUGCUCUCAGUGGAUCUAUUUUUUUUAAGGUGUCUCAAGAAGUUGAUCAGUUCAAUUGUGAAUAUCAUAUGCAUCUUCAUCCUCUAGAUUUGGCAUCAAUUUCUUGGAAGCUGCUCAUGUAUCAUUUAUAAAAACAACCUAUUAUAUUCAACAUGUGAUGCUUUAUAAGCAAAGGGCCUCAGGACUCUUUCUACCACAAAAAAGAGGUAUGCCAAAACAGGCAAAGCAUUCUAGGAGAAAGGCACAUGGGA